CUACUUUAGGCGACAUGACACCUCAUACAUAUCUGGGAAGAAUAAUAGGCUCGGUCUGUGCCUUGGCGGGUGUGCUCACAAUCGCGCUUCCUGUCCCCGUCAUCGUCAGCAAC
rfam:Steinernema glaseri strain NC unplaced genomic scaffold GLAS_5294, whole genome shotgun sequence.